AGGAAAAGAAACCAACAGGGAUUGCCCCAGUAACGGCGAGUGAAGCGGCAAAAGCUCAAAUUUGAAAUCCUGCGGGAAUUGUAAUUUGAAGGUUUCGUGGUCUGAGUCGGCCGCGCCCAAGUCCAUUGGAACAUGGCGCCUGGGAGGGUGAGAGCCCCGUAUGGCGCACGCCGACUCUUUGCACCGCGGCUCCGACGAGUCGAGUUGUUUGGGAAUGCAGCUCUAAGUGGGUGGUAAAUUCCAUCUAAAGCUAAAUAUUGGCGAGAGACCGAUAGCGAACAAGUACAGUGAUGGAAAGAUGAAAAGCACUUUGAAAAGAGAGUGAAACAGCACGUGAAAUUGUUGAAAGGGAAGGGCUUGCAAGCAGACACGGUUUUACCGGGCCAGCGUCGAAAAGGGGGGAGGAACAAGAACUCGAGAAUGUGGCGCGCACCUUCGGGCGCGCGUGUUAUAGCUCGUGUUGACGCCUCCAUCCCUUUUCGAGGCCUGCGAUUCUAGGACGCUGGCGUAAUGGUUGCAAGCCGCCCGUCUUGAACCCACGGACCAA
rnacentral:rRNA from 1 species